UACUUUCCCAAAACCAUCCAAGCGGGAGCUGUUUAGGGGUUAGGUUCUCUCGUUUUGUUUUACCGAUUCGCGUAUACUCUCUACGGAUCAGAGCAAACCCUAACCCUAGAUUUGGAUCAUGUCGUCCAAGCAAGGUGGAAAAGCGAAGCCAUUGAAGCAACCAAAAGCUGAAAAGAAGGAGUACGACGAGAUGGAUAAGGCAAACCUUCAAAAGAAGAAGGAAGAGGAAAAGGCACUGAAGGAGCUUAGAGCCAAAGCGCAAAAGGGAGCAUUGGGAGGUGCUGGUCUCAAGAAAAGUGGUAAGAAAUGAGGUAAAAGUUAUUACAUAUUGUAUGUCAUAAAUGAAUGAUGAUGUUCUUAAUGUGUUUGCAUCAAGUCUUUUGUGAUUGUUCUUGUGUAAAACUCAAGAGGAACAAUCAUACUGGCUGCCAUUUGGUAUUGUUGUUUUCUGGGGUGUACUGAUUUUAUAUGGAAGUUAUUAGUAAUGGUUUAUCGUUUAUGGUUU